rnacentral:rRNA from 1 species
GAUGAACGCUGGCGGCGUGCCUAACACAUGCCAGUCGAGCGGCAGCGAGGGGUGCUUGCACCCUGUCGGCGAGCGGCGGACGGCUGAGUAACGCGUGGGAACGUGCCCCAAAGUGAGGAAUAACUGCCCGAAAGGGUAGCUAAUACCGCAUAUUAUCUUCGGAUCAAAGGAUUUAUCCGCUUUGGGAGCGGCUCGCGUCGGAUUAGGUAGUUGGUGAGGUAAUGGCUCACCAAGCCGACGAUCCGUAGCUGGUCUGAGAGGAUGACCAGCCAGACUGGAACUGAGACACGGUCCAGACUCCUAUGGGAGGCAGCAGUGAGGAAUCUUCCACAAUGGGCGAAAGCCUGAUGGAGCAACGCCGCGUGCAGGACGAAGGCCUUCGGGUUGUAAAAUGCUUUUAUAAGUGAGGAAUAUGACGGUAACUUAUGAAUAAGGAUCGGCUAACUACGUG